rnacentral:rRNA from 1 species
GCUGGCGGCAUGCUUUACACAUGCAAGUCGAACGGCAGCACGGGUGCUUGCACCUGGUGGCGAGUGGCGAACGGGUGAGUAAUAUAUCGGAACGUACCCGGAAAUGGGGGAUAACGUAGCGAAAGUUACGCUAAUACCGCAUAUGCCCUGAGGGGGAAAGUGGGGGAUCCGCAAGGACCUCACGUUUUCGGAGCGGCCGAUAUCAGAUUAGCUAGUUGGUGGGGUAAAGGCCUACCAAGGCGACGAUCUGUAGCUGGUCUGAGAGGACGACCAGCCACACUGGAACUGAGACACGGUCCAGACUCCUACGGGAGGCAGCAGUGGGGAAUUUUGGACAAUGGGCGCAAGCCUGAUCCAGCCAUGCCGCGUGAGUGAAGAAGGCCUUCGGGUUGUAAAGCUCUUUCAGCCGGAAAGAAAACGCACGGGUUAAUACCUUGUGUGGAUGACGGUACCGGAAGAAGAAGCACCGGCUAACUACGUGCCAGCAGCCGCGGUAAUACGUAGGGUGCGAGCGUUAAUCGGAAUUACUGGGCGUAAAGCGUGCGCAGGCGGUUUUUUAAGACAGAUGUGAAAUCCCCGGGCUUAACCUGGGAACUGCAUUUGUGACUGGAAGACUAGAGUACGGCAGAGGGGGGUAGAAUUCCACGUGUAGCAGUGAAAUGCGUAGAUAUGUGGAGGAAUACCGAUGGCGAAGGCAGCCCCCUGUGUCGAUACUGACGCUCAUGCACGAAAGCGUGGGGAGCAAACAGGAUUAGAUACCCUGGUAGUCCACGCCCUAAACGAUGUCAACUAGGUGUUGGGGGAGGAGACUUCCUUAGUACCGCAGCUA